UUUAAGUUUAUUGUAAUUUUCUUUUUUGUACACGCCAAUGCCUCUUUUAUUCCCAUUCUUCUGUCGCGGGUCUACUGGAAGAAAUUUCUAUAGAAAUAAUUAGUACCUUUGCACUUAGUUUCCUAUUUGUAAGUUUCAUAUUUACACUGUUAUGUUGUGUACAUUAAUAAAUAAAUAAAUAAAAAACAGCGCGGCGGCAGUGGCCUAAACGCUCUGAGAGCCACCCCUACCCGUGAUGAAGACUUCUGUAGUACCUAUUCUAAAUUCUAUGAGACCCCCUCAUAUCUUCCAUUUAUUCAUUCAUUUACAUACAAUAAUGACGCAUACAAGAUGUGGAUAUAUUAAAAAUAAAUAUAAAUAUAUUGGGACAAAUCAUACAGAUUGAGCUAGCCCCAAAGUAAGUUCGUGACUUUUGUUAUGGGAUGUUAACUCAACGAUACUAUAUUUUAUUACAAUUACAUAUAUAGGUAAACAUCCAAGACCCGGGCCAAGUAGAAAAAGGUCAUUUUCCAUCAUGACCCGACCGGGGAUCGAACCCGGGACCUCUCGGUUCAGAGGCAAGCACUUUCCCACUACGCCACUGACGUCAAAUACUUACAUAGUGGUAGUGCUGGUGCUGUACGACGCUAUAUAAUAGUCACUAUGUCCAGCGAUGGUGACCUUCGGCUUGUGAUCAAAAGGUCCCAGGUUCGAAUCCUACUCGCGCCACAUAAGUUUGUAUGCCAAUCUGACUCAUGGUAGGUAGUCAAAAGGUAGGAUGACGAUUGUCUUGUGUUUUUUUUGUUUUCAUUCAGGCUAUAGUGGCUUAAACCACUCCUUAAUACAUUAGGCUCCGAAUAUGAAAACCUAGUAGUGUAAGGCCCGUUUUCGCGAAAUGAUACAUUAUCUAAUUCAAAAUUAGAUCUUUUUUUGAGGAUAAAAAUCUUAUCACGUAUCUUACGAAAUGUAUGCUAUCUUAAAAGCAUCUCACGUAGAGAUAAAGGCAAUCAUAUAUCGAAAUACAUAAACAAAUCGCGAUUACAAGCGUUUAAGGAGAUAAAAAUGUAUAAUAAAAAAAAUGUGAUCUUCGAAGUGAUCCGUUAUUGUAAUUAGAAUUUUUCAGAUGGUAACACCGGUGGUUGGUUGAAGUUAUUUUUUAAAUAUGUAUACACAGUGUCUUAUUAAUUUAAUAUGGAUUCAGGUCGGGCUCGCUCAAAUCAAUCCAUCUCUGCUAAAUAGACUAGUUUACCAACAAAAUUUACCAGGAAACAACAUUGUGGUUAACCAACGUCAGUUAAAUAACGGUGUGCCUUUAAAUAACGCAAUCAGUCGUCUAGCAACAUCGAAUCUUCCAAUAAAACAAACGCCAAACUUUUUACAAAAUUUACCAAUUUCAACUAUUGGGACGAAUAAUUUACAAUUAGCCAAUGGUUUGUCAAAUAGAUUGACAUUCAUACAAUCACAGCAAAGUUUACCAUUGCCAAAAUGUAAUUGUAGAAAUCAGCAACCGAAUUUACCAAAUAAUAUUCAAUCACAAAAUAAUUACCGAAGUGUUACUGGUAAAUUACCAAUAAAUAAUUUGCCAAUAAGUAAUUUACCUUUAAAUAAUUUACCUCGAAGCAAUGUCAACAACAAUUUACCACUAAAUAACUUACCAGUAAGUAAUUUGCCGAUUAGUAACAGUUACCAAAUAAGCAAUUUACCAGUGGCAAACAAUUUGCAAUCACAAAAUAACUUGUAUAAUUUAUUAAAUAAUUAUGUAUCAGCAAAUAUUCCUCAAGCAAAUAAUUUGGUAAAUCCAAAUUUAUCUGGAUUUAAUAAUUUACAAGCCAAUAAUUUAAUUCCCUCAGCAACAGCGAAUGUCCAAAUUCCUAAUAAUUUACAAAUUCAAUUGUCAAAUAAUGCUCAAUUAAAUAGUAAUGCAGCUCAUGGUAAUAAUUUACUUCAACAAAACAUUCCAAAUUUGAAUAAUUUACAAAUUUCCAGCGUGCCAGUAAAUUACGAGCCAAAUAAUUUACCUGUAAAUUAUAAUUUAGCAAACGCGGCUAAUACAAAUUAUUUGACCAAUGUUAAUAAUUUACCUCCAAAUUCGGCAUAUUUUAAUAAUUUACCAUUACCAAAUUUAGCAUUAUCAAAUAACGUACAAAAUAUUAAUAGAAUACCAGUCAAUAAUAUAUAUGAUUCAAUUGCUAACGUCCCAAACUUGUCAAAGAAUUUAGUGUCAAAUGUUGACCAAACUCUGCCAAUACAAUUGGCACAGCCAAGUAUUGGCAACCCGAAUUAUCAAUUGACAAACCCAUCAAUCGGUAAUAAUUGUGAAUGCAAAAACGCUUUGUACUUAUUAGACGACAAUAUUGCCAAUUCGUUGCCAAGCACGCCAGUUCUGUCCUUGAAUGGGUUACAACUUGGACAACUUGGUAAACUGCCAUUAUUCAACGGGUUGCCAGUAAUUGGCAUGACUGAAAGUAUUGUAAAUUUGCAACCAUUGUAAACUAUUUAUUUUAAUUAUAUAUGGUUAAUAAACAUUUUUAUAUUUGU